GGGUGAAGGAGAAUUGAGAAAUUAUGGAACUGGCAUUUGUUUUGGUGCUGCAUUAGAAUGAUCUUUUUCAAUCGUUUAUUCUAAAAGCUAUGACAGAAAAGUGGAAAAAAAGGGUCACUGAAAUGAUAGAAUCCUAGGUGGUUUACAAAACAUGGAUUGCAGCUCAUAAAAUAGGGCAUAUGUGGAUUUUCUCACUACCCGUAAUGAACCUGAUCGGACGCUAUUUUGUGAUGCUGUUUUUGAGAGACCACUUACACUGCCAGUCAUUAUCUCUGUAUGUACCCAUUAGUCUCUGGUUGUGGCAGGGUUGUGACCGGGGAAGAAGCUCAGCCCUACAGCUGGCCAUGGCAGGUUUCUCUGGAGUCGUUCUUCCCCACCUGCAGAGGUACGCUCAUCGCUGGUAACUGGGUCAUGACGGCUGGACACUGCAUUACAUCCAGGUUCCACACAUGCAGAGUGGUCGUGGCAGAGAAUGACAAAAAUUAUGAGUCAGUAUGAGCUGCCAAAGUGAGACGACAGACAUACAGGACAGUGUCGAGUCGGCGGUGACACCAUGAGACUGAGCGGGGAGUGUUGAAAACGGCCCCUGGUCCCGGGAAUGAUGCACACGCACUCCAUCAGCUCCUAGUGAGUCAGGACAUGUCAACUUCUCUUGUCACCAAUACCGACCCCUUUAAUAUGAACUCUCACUUAACCCACCAUGCCAAGGACUUCCCAUCUGAAAAACGCAUCAUUUUUGAAGAGAAGGGUCAGAGUAUUUAUUCACUUACCUCCAGGAAUAAGGCCUUAUAAAAAUCUAUCUCUUUUGGCAUCUAUCAGAGUCUACUUGUGCAAUCAUCUUUCAAGUUGAUGUAUGCAGUUCUUCUUUUUUAAUUAAAAAUCAUUUAAGGUA
ensembl:lncRNA